UACAUGGCCCUCAGGUUUCACCUCCCAGCCUUGCAGGAAUCUGGAGUGCUGAAAUGGACCUGUCACCCAGUGAAGGCAACCAAGAAAGUUGCUAAGUCGAAGUGGAGUGGCUGGAUGAAAGGGGUUUUCAGUUAAAAGUUCACAACUCUGCUGUGCAGGCUGGAAGGACUGCUCAUAGCACUGCUGGAAAUUAUUCUGAGUAUAGUUAAAAAUAAAUAAGGUAAUGAUAGCACUUUCAUUAGAUCUGCAGUCACACCAUGGGCUGUCUCUUAAAAAUCACAACAACUGCAGAGUUAGGAACAAGAAAAGACUCCUAAAACCUGCACUUUUGGAUUGGGGGGGGGGGGAGGAAUACAAGCAUGAAACACAGAUUGCACCUUCAAAUCCCCGAUGGCAUCACGCUUCUUUGUUCUGCUAAGAAAAAUUAACCUCAAUCUCGGCUCAAGGUCCCCCGAUUGAUUAUCAUAGUCAUUUAAAUACUGUAAUCUCAUUUUCAGCAUCAGGGAAAGGGAGCGAAAAGAAGAAAAAGAGAAAGAGGUGGGGAAGCGAGGGGGAGAGAAAGAGAAAACAGAAUAAAUUAUCUGACAAAAGGAAAAAGGGCCUUUCUGCUUACGGAGCCUAUUUCAGAUCCUUCCACUUGAUUGGAAAAGUUGAUGAAGUUUAAAUGAAGCAGAAUUAGAGGCUCAGGCCACUGAGUAUUGACAGGGGCCCAUGGAAGAAUGUGCAAUUCAAUAGGCCUGAUUUCUGUAGAAAACAGGGGAAAGGCCUAAAUGGUAUAAUCUUCAAUCAAAUCUAACAUCGACACUGACAAGGCAGGGUAAUGAGAUAGGCCAGAUCAGGCAUGUUGGUUAAAGAAAUUAAUCCCUCUCGCUGCACCAAGAGUUCAGCUUUGAUGCCUAUUGUAUAGACCCCAGUCCCAGCCUAUCUAAAUGCUAACUAACUGCGAGUGUGAUCUGGGACUGUGCUUUUCAUUGCUGGGGCUAAUCUGAUAACAAUUUUAGCUCCCUGCUUAUGGUGGCAGAGGUAGCGCGGGAGCCUCUCACUGUGGCACUGCGGCAAGGGAGGAGAGGGGCAGAGCGUGGGGAUGGACGCAGCCACGUUUCGGUGUGUAUCAGGGCUUUAACACACUGUAAUACACUGUGAUUAGUGUAGUUACAGUCGCCUCCUGAUUGGGAUCUCCUGGGAACUACAGAAGCGCCCAGGCAGCGAGCAGGAGGGUGAUAGAGAGAGGGAAUGUAAAGGGACAUUGGGAAGUUGAAAAGCAUGCUGCAAACAAAGGGGCUCUUCUACCUGGCGAGCAGCCCGAAGCUUGUGAUUAAAACCAUCUUCAUUUUUCAGGCUAGUUUACUCUUCACUAAGCAAUAUGAGGUUCACUGUGUUUGCUUUUCUGAUUCCU